rnacentral:tRNA from 1 species
GGUGAGUUCCCAUAAUGGUAUUGGAGUAGAUUGCUAAUCUAUCGGGCUUAACAGCCUUGUGGGUUCAAGUCCCUCACUCACCGCCA